rnacentral:tRNA from 1 species
AGCUCAGCUGGUCAGAGCAUGGUGCUAAUAACACCAAGGUUGUGAGUUUGAUUCCCAU